rnacentral:rRNA from 1 species
CGUGAGUGAAGAAGGCCUUAGGGUCGUAAAAUUCUUUUGCCAGAGAUGAUAAUGACCGUAUUCUGGUAAAGAAACCCCGGCUAACUCCGUGCCAGCAGCCGCGGUAAUACGGAGGGGGUUAGCGUUGUUGGAAAUUACUGGGCGUAAAGCGCACGUAGGCGGACUGGAAAGUUGGGGGUGAAAUCCCGGGGCUCAACCUCGGAACUGCCUCCAAAACUAUCAGUCUAGAGUUCGAGAGAGGUGAGUGGAAUUCCAAGUGUAGAGGUGAAAUUCGUAGAUAUUUGGAGGAACACCAGUGGCGAAGGCGGCUCACUGGCUCGAUACUGACGCUGAGGUGCGAAAGUGUGGGGAGCAAACAGGAUUAGAUACCCUGGUAGUCCACACCGUAAACGAUGAAUGCCAGUCGUCGGCAAGUAUACUUGUCGGUGACACACCUAACGGAUUAAGCAUUCCGCCUGGGGAGUACGGUCGCAAGAUUAAAACUCAAAGGAAUUGACGGGGGCCCGCACAAGCGGUGGAGCAUGUGGUUUAAUUCGAAGC